ACCCCUGUUUUGCUUAUUUUACUUCUGCUGAAAUAAAUUUUUCAUCUGUUCUGGUCAGCUUAGUAUCUGGCAUGCUGGGCACUGCCUGGCACCAAUAUUAAACUGAUUUUACUUUCCGAGUUGACAACGAAGCUUGCUUCAGUUGACUUACGGAUUAUACGGUUUUACACUACCAACGACUAUAGUCCACCUUCA